rnacentral:rRNA from 1 species
UAGGGAAUCUUCCGCAAUGGACGAAAGUCUGACGGAGCAACGCCGCGUGAGUGAGGAAGGCCUUCGGGUCGUAAAGCUCUGUUGCCAGGGAAGAAUGUGCGAGGGAGUCACUGCCCUUGUAGUGACGGUACCUGAGAAGAAAGCCCCGGCUAACUACGUGCCAGCAGCCGCGGUAAUACGUAGGGGGCAAGCGUUGUCCGGAAUUAUUGGGCGUAAAGCGCGCGCAGGCGGCUUUGUAAGUCUUGUGUUUAAACGCGGGGCUCAACCCCGUGUCGCAUGGGAAACUGCAAGGCUUGAGUGCAGAAGAGGAAAGUGGAAUUCCACGUGUAGCGGUGAAAUGCGUAGAGAUGUGGAGGAACACCAGUGGCGAAGGCGACUUCUGGGCUGUAACUGACGCUGAGGCGCGAAAGCGUGGGGAGCAAA